GUAGUGUAGAGUAGAGUGGGGUAGAGUAGAGUAGAGUAGUGUAGUGUAGAGUGGGGUAGAGUAGAGUAGUGUAGAGUAGAGUAGAGUAGUGUAGAGUGGGGUAGAGUAGAGUAGUGUAGAGUAGUGUAGAGUAGAGUAGUAUAGAGUAGAGUAGAGUAGAGUAGAGUAGAGUAGAGUAGAGUAGAGUAGAGUAGAGUAGAGUAGUGUAGAGUAGAGUAGAGUAGAGUAGAGUAGAGUAGUGUAGAGUAGAGUAGUGUAGAGUAGUGUAGAGUAGAGUAGAGUUGAGUAGAGUAGUGUAGAGGAGAGUAGAGUACUGUAGAGUAGAGUAGUGUAGAGUAGAGUAGUGUAGAGUAGAGUAGUGUAGUGUAGAGUAGAGGAGAGGGGAGGAGAGGAGAGUAGAGUAGUGUAGUGUAGUGUAGUGUAGAGUACAGUAGAGUAGAGUAGUGUAGAGUACUAUAGAGUAGAGUAGAGUAGAGGAGAGUAGAGGAGAGUAGUGUAGUGUAGUGUAGUGUAGAGUACAGUAGAGUAGAGUAGUGUAGAGUACUAUAGAAGGAGAGUAGUGUAGUGUAGUGUAGUGUAGAGUACAGUAGAGUAGAGUAGUGUAGAGUACUAUAGAGUAGAGUAGAGUAGAGGAGAGUAGUGUAGAGUAGAGUACUGUCGAGUAGAGUAGAGUACUGUAGAAUAGAGUACAGUAGAGUACAGUAGUCUAG
ensembl:lncRNA